AUGUUUACCUGGCAGGGGGAUCUUAGCAUGAUUACUAAGGUGGCUCUCCAAGGGCGAGGCUGGUUCAUUGCUCCCUGAGCCCGCUGACUUCUGUGAUUUCCCCACAUGCGGAAAACUCAACUGCACAAUUUUUUGGGAGUGAGGUUCUGCGUGUGCAUUUUCCCAUG